rnacentral:rRNA from 1 species
GAAUUCGCGGGAGAACUUGACGGGACUGUGGGAUUAAAGAUCGGCUAACUCCGUGCCAUCACCCGCGGUAAUACGGAGGAUCCAAGCGUUAUCCGGAAUCAUUGGGUUUAAAGGGUCCGCAGGCUGUUUUUUAAGUCAGAGGUGAAAUCCUGCAGCUCAACUGUAGAACUGCCUUUGAUACUGGAAGACUUGAGGUAUUGGGAAGUGGUUAGAAUGUGUGGUGUAGCGGUGAAAUGCAUAGAUAUUACACAGAAUACCGAUUGCGAAGGCAGAUUACUAACAAUAUACUGACGCUCAUGGACGAAAGCGUGGGGAGCGAACAGGAUUAGAUACCCUGGUAGUCCACGCCGUAAACGAUGGAUACUAGCUGUUCGUCUUACAUUGGUUGGAUGAGUGGAUAAGCGAAAGUUAUUAGUAUCCCACCUGGGGAGUACGGUCGCAAGACUGAAACUCAAAGGAAUUGACGG